rnacentral:rRNA from 1 species
GCUUACGGCCAUACCACCCUGAGAACACCCGAUCUCGUCUGAUCUCGGAAGCUAAGCAGGGUCGGACCUGGUUAGUACUUGGAUGGGAGACCGCCUGGGAAUACCAGGUGCUGUAAGCU